rnacentral:rRNA from 1 species
AACGUAGGGGUCGAGCGUUAUCCGGAUUUACUGGGCGUAAAGCGCAUGUAGGCGGUUUUUUAAGUUGGACGUGAAAGCUCCUGGCUCAACUAGGAGAGGUCGUUCAAAACUGGAAGACUCGAGGAUGGUAGAGGAGAGUGGAAUUCCCGGUGUAGUGGUGAAAUGCGUAGAUAUCGGGAGGAACACCAGUGGCGAAGGCGGCUCUCUGGGCCAUUCCUGACGCUGAGAUGCGAAAGCUAGGGGAGAGAACGGG